rnacentral:rRNA from 1 species
AUUGAACGCUGGCGGCAGGCCUAACACAUGCAAGUCGAGCGGAGCGGCGGACGGGUGAGUAAUGCCUAGGAAUCUGCCUGGUAGUGGGGGAUAACGUCCGGAAACGGGCGCUAAUACCGCAUACUAUCAGAUGAGCCUAGGUCGGAUUAGCGAGUGGGUGGGGUAAAGGCCUACCACGGCGACGAUCCGUAACUGGUCUGAGAGGAUGACCAGCCACAUGGGAACUGGGAAACGGCCCAGACUCCACCGGGAGGAAGCAGUGGGGAAAAUGGCACAAUGGGCGAAAGCCUGAGGAAGCCAUGCCGCGUGUAUGAAGAAGGCUUUCGGGUUGUAAAGUACUUUCGGCGGGGAGGCGUUACCCGAAGAAGAAGACCCGGCUAACCCCGUGCCAGCAGCCGCGGUAAUUC